UUUAAGUAUAAUUUUUUCAUGAAAAUAACAGUUGAACUUUGACUUCUUUUAGGAUUCAAGUAGUUAUUUUUAACAUGAUUUAUCUAUGAAAUAAGUGCUGCACUUGACUUUUGCUUUACUGGAGUCAAUAAAGAUAUUUUUUGCUAGCCAUUUUGAUCUUUUACUUUACUUCACUCUUUUCUCUUUCGUAUUACCAAUGUCAUUUGCAGCCCAACCCUCCUGACCUAUUUGCUCCAUUUUUUAACUUUUACCCAUUUUGACUCUAACAUGUUACCCAACCUCCCAUUUUUCUAGGCCACGGUUAAUAGUUUCACUUAUAAUUUCUUAUGAUUUGCCUUGAUCUAAUCCUUAUGUACGACUAGAAUGUUCCAUUUCUUACAUGCUUGUGGUAAAAUUGUACGAAACACCUCAAAGAUCAAAAAGAAGAAGUGCUCCAUGGGGAUUUACUGAGGAGUUGUCCACCUUUGAUGCUUACUCAUGAGAAUGGCGAGGGAGAAGAAAAGAAAACAAAGUCUAAGGCCUUUGACAUAUUUGGUUGCUUUAUCUAAAACUAAGUAAAUUAUAAUAUACUUAAUGGAUUGAUGUUCACUCUUAUUGUUUAUCCUCAACUAUUUACAGUGGUAAUUAUAUUGUUUUGGAAAAUGAUAAAUCCUCUUUAAGAUUAGGGUAUAAGAAAAUGACAUUUGGUAUCCACUAAUUAUUUUUCUUAAUGUUGCUUCUUGAUUUUGGCA